CAGUCGCCACGGGAAUACGUAGGUGGCAAGCGUUGUCCGGAAUUAUUGGGCGUAAAGGGCUCGCAGGCGGUUUCUUAAGUCUGAUGUGAAAGCCCCCGGCUCAACCGGGGAGGGUCAUUGGAAACUGGGAAACUUGAGUGCAGAAGAGGAGAGUGGAAUUCCACGUGUAGCGGCGAAAUGCGUAGAGAUGUGGAGGAACACCAGUGGCGAAGGCGACUCUCUGGUCUGUAACUGACGCUGAGGAGCGAAAGCGUGGGGAGCGAACAGGAUUAGAUACCCCGGUAGUCCCUGUCUCUUAUCC
rnacentral:rRNA from 1 species